rnacentral:rRNA from 1 species
AACGUAGGGGGCGAGCGUUAUCCGGAUUUAUUGGGCGUAAAGCGCGCGUAGGUGGCAUGGCAAGUUGGAUGUGAAAGCUCCCGGCUCAACUGGGAGAGUGCAUACAAAACUGCCAAGCUAGAGGGUAGGAGAGGAGAGCAGAAUUCCCGGUGUAGUGGUGGAAUGCGUAGAUAUCGGGAGGAAUACCAGUGGCGAAGGCGGCUCUCUGGACUAACCCUGACGCUGAGGUGCGAAAGCGUGGGUAGCGAACGGG